CCCUCCUGUGGUGAAAAUAAAAUCAAUCGCUUUAUUUCCCAUUAAGGGAGUAACUAGAGAAGUGAGGUGGUGGCUCUCGGGGACUGUUUUUUUCUUUCCUGAGGGAAAAGAGGCCCAGUAGCACAGCAGCUGUGGUGGAUUUGCCCAGCUUUGAGGGAGCCCCAUGGCAGGAGCCAGACAGUUCUGCUGGCAUUGUGAGGCCUGCCAGCAUGUGCUAGUCUGUGGUCAUGUGCAAUAUAUUAGAUUGUAGUAACCUUGUGAGACAGGAUGGAAUGUGAUAAGACUUCUCUGCAGGCCAGGGCUGUGAGCUGUGGCCCUUGUGGACUGCUACCUGUGCGAUAGGUAAGAGCAGCCCUGUGGGCCCUUAGUCUCAUUCCUAGGGGAGCAAGUGGGGCUCUUGGCUAAGGGGAGGGAGCGCUGAAACUGCUGGUGGCCUCAUGUUUUUCUCCCUCUUCCCUUUCAGCUCUCCUUAUUCACUGACCAGCACAGCCCUACUGAAGAGUGUGUCUGAGGGAUGCUGCUGUGGAUGAGGUGUGAUCUAAGGAUAGGCAAUUCUGAAUAAUCCUGCCUGAUAACCUACUUACUGCCAAUGCCUAAAUACAUCCAAUGCUGUGACUUCUUGGACAAAACAAGAACUUCCUAUUGACUAAUGUCUGCUUUGCCCCAACCUGCCGGAUGCUCCGAAGGGAUUUUAAGGACUAGAAGUAAAAUCUCUUGUAGAUAGGCAUUUCUACAGUGCCUCUUCUGAACUUUCUAAAAUGGAGAGCUAUCCACUGUUGACUACCUCUAGAAAACAUUGUGAUUGUCCUCUUAAGCUGCUGUCUUCAGUUAGAGAAAAUAAUUUGAGCUGGAAAAUGAAUUUCACUCCAAAGAUGCAUCCCCGUCUCUUUCCUUUUAUACAUUUCUGUAAGUACAGUGCUAUAUUUUAUUCUGCAGUAUUCCCUUUGUUUUCCAAUGUAAAGGAUUGUAACGAGUGGGCCAUGCUUCAGCCAGUCUCCUUUUCCAAAUAUAAUUUCUCUUCCAAAACUAGGGGAUCAUAGGAAUGCCCCAAUCAAAGGAGCAGUAUACUACUUCAUUACAGUUUGCACUUGAAGGGAGGCACUUUCAUUUUCUGAUUACUUGUUAUAUGUUCUAGUGAGUGAUCUGAAUUGUACUUAAAAAUUAAAUUUUUAUUGGGUGCUAAUGAAUUAUUUAUUUAUUUUAAAAUGUAGUCAUCUGCAAUCAGAUUUUUUUUUCUGUCAGUUUCUAUAUUUGGAAUCUGCUGAUAGUUACUGGAAGCUGUUUGGGGAUUGGAAUACUCAGCACUAUUGUAUUGUGAUCAAUAAUUAAAUUUAGUGCUGACAUGCAUCUAGUUUAUGCAGCAGCCUCUGACAGUCCCAUCUUGCAAAAUUAAUC